UGCCUGCCUGCCUGCCUGCCUGCCUGCCUGCCACCAAGUGCCUGGGAUUCUCGUUUGCCACACCAAGCCGCCAAUAGCUGGAUCUUUGUUCAGCCACGCACUCUUCGACCCCAUCAAUCAGCUCCCGACUACUCUCCCCCACUAAACCCUCAGUGUUAUCAGUAAAAUCUUUGUGAGUUUCAACCUA